rnacentral:misc_RNA from 1 species
AAGUCGUAACAAGGUUUCCGUAGGUGAACCUGCGGAAGGAUCAUUACAAGAAGCCCUUCGGGGAACUUCCACCCUGCAAACAUACCUGUGCUUGGCCCUCGGGUCAACCUUUACUCUGAACCGUUCUGAAUUAAACUAAAAGAAAAACUUUCAACAAUGGAUCUCUUGGCUCGA